UAGCCGUAAACGAUACUCGCUAGGUGUCGGCCACGGUGCGACCGUUGUCGGUGCCGUAGGGAAGCCGUGAAGCGAGCCACCUGGGAAGUACGGCCGCAAGGCUGAAACUUAAAGGAAUUGGCGGGGGAGCACCACACGGGUGGAGCUUGCGGUUUAAUUGGAUUCAACGCCGGAAAUCUUACCGGGACCGACAGCAACAUGAAGGCCAGGCUGAAGACUUUGCCGGAUUAGCUGAGAGGUGGUGCAUGGCGUAGUCGUGU
rnacentral:rRNA from 1 species